rnacentral:rRNA from 1 species
GCACUUUAUACUGUGAAACUGCGAAUGGCUCAUUAAAUCAGUUAUCGUUUAUUUGAUAGUACCUUGCUACAUGGAUACCUGUGGUAAUUCUAGAGCUAAUACAUGCUAAAAACCCCGACUUCAGGAAGGGGUGUAUUUAUUAGAUAAAAAACCAACGCCCUUCGGGGCUCCUUGGUGAAUCAUAAUAACUUAACGAAUCGCAUGGCCUUGCGCCGGCCAUGGGUUCUUUCAAAUUUCUGCCCUAUCAACUUUCGAUGGUAGGAUAGUGGCCUACCAUGGUGGCAACGGGUAACGGGGAAUUAGGGUUCGAUUCCGGAGAGGGAGCCUGAGAAACGGCUACCACAUCCAAGGAAGGCAGCAGGCGCGCAAAUUACCCAAUCCCGAUACGGGG